UUCUCCCAUUACAUUGUACUA
rnacentral:piRNA from 1 species